UUAAACACAUUGUAGAAUGUAUAUGUCCUUUUAUUCUAUUCUAUUCUAUUCUAUUCUAUUCUAUUCUAAUCUAUUGUUAUACUUAUUAGCUUGUUAAUGAGUUUUUGGCUGCGUCUUUUGUCGUUUUCAAUUCAAUUCAAUUCAAUUCAAUUUAUUUUUAUAGCACUUUUAACAAUUCCCAUUGUUUUAAAGCAGCUUUACAGAGCCGGAGGUGACGGCGGCAAGAAGGAAAAACUCUGAGAAAAAAAACUCCAGGCUUAGAAGGGAUCCCAUUCUCAUUUGGGUGACACUCUACAAUUCUCAACUUUCUAGUCCAUGACCAGACCUCAAAAUGGGACGGAGAAGGGGAUGUGAUGUCCGGUCCUGUCCAUCUGACACUCAGCCUUUCAGUCCACACACACACACACACACACACACACACACACACACACACACACACACACACACACACACACACACACACACACACACUCCUCCACAGAGAGCCAUACUGACACACACUCCUCCAGCACUUCCAGAUGUCAUGAUACCUGCAGAGCACAAAGCACAGCAUUUGCAUGGUGUCUGACUUCUUUUACCCCAACAUGGGUGGUGUGGAGAGCCACAUCUAUCUGCCCUCACAGUGCCUCACAGAGAAGGUAGUGAUAGCAACACAUGCCUAUGGCAACCGGCGUGGCAUACGCUACCUCACCAAUGGUCUGAAAGUUUAUUACCUCCCUCUCCAGGUCUGUGAGUUAAUCUCAACCUCAUAAGGUUAAAGUAAAUGCUUUGGGUAUUGAUCA